AGCGAACGCUGGCGGCAGGCUUAACACAUGCAAGUCGAACGCCCCGCAAGGGGAGUGGCAGACGGGUGAGUAACACGUGGGAACGUACCCUUUGGUUCGGAAUAACUUGGGGAAACUCAAGCUAAUACCGGAUAAGCCCGUUUGGGGAAAGGUUUACUGCCGAAGGAUCGGCCCGCGUCUGAUUAGCUAGUUGGUGAGGUAACGGCUCACCAAGGCGACGAUCAGUAGCUGGUCUGAGAGGAUGAUCAGCCACACUGGGACUGAGACACGGCCCAGACUCCUACGGGAGGCAGCAGUGGGGAAUAUUGGACAAUGGGGGCAACCCUGAUCCAGCCAUGCCGCGUGAGUGAUGAAGGCCUUAGGGUUGUAAAGCUCUUUUACCCGGGACGAUAAUGACUGUACCGGGAGAAUAAGCCCCGGCUAACUUCGUGCCAGCAGCCGCCGUAA
rnacentral:rRNA from 1 species